AAGGAAAAAAAAGAUAAAAAAGAUAACUUAAGUGUUCCAUGUUAUUCAUUCGGAAAUUACUGUAGCGACCUAACUAUUUACAGGAGUAAAAACGGUAAAUAGUAGGGAGACUUUUCCUACACUGGGAGUAUCAUACGUCUCAAGAUUCUCUUCCCAUAUAUAGUCUACUUUUCGGCUUAAAGAGAAAUUGUAAAUAUAUCAAUUGAAUUAUUUAUAGUACACAUGUAUA
rnacentral:lncRNA from 1 species